AAAUGAAUUGACGGGGACCCGCACAAGCGGUGGAGCAUGUGGUUUAAUUCGAGGCAACGCGAAGAACCUUACCAAGGCUUGACAUCCCGCUGACCGGUGUGGAAACACGCCUUUUCUUCGGAACAGCGGAGACAGGUGGUGCAUGGUUGUCGUCAGCUCGUGUCGUGAGAUGUUGGGUUAAGUCCCGCAACGAGCGCAACCCUUAUCUUUAGUAGCCAGUGGGUAAAGCCAGGCACACUAGAGAGACUGCCGUGGUAACAUGGAGGAAGGUGGGGAUGAGGUCAAAUCAUCAUGCCCCUUAUGUCUUGGGCUACACACGUGCUACAAUGGCUGCAACAAAGUGAUGCGAACCUGCGAGGGUGAGCCAAGCACAAAAAAGCAGUCUCAGUUCGGAUUGUAGUCUGCAACCCGACUACAUGAAGUUGGAAUCGCUAGUAAUCGCAAAUCAGCACGUUGCGGUGAAUACGUUCCCGGGUCUUGUACACACCGCCCGU
rnacentral:rRNA from 1 species